rnacentral:rRNA from 1 species
AUGGGCUCGAAGCAGCAGCCCGCGCUCCGGCCGAACGCCGCCGAGAGAGGCUGCGGCGGCGACGGCAGGGCGGCGUCGCUGAGCGAGCGGUCGAGCCUCACGAACGCGUCCUUCAGGGUGUACUACAGCCUGCGCGCCGGCGCCGUGCCGUUCCUGUGGGAGUCCGCGCCCGGCACGCCAAAGAGGGACGCGGAGUCGCCCAUCCGUGGGGCGGCGAUGCUGCUUCCUCCCCUCUCACCGCCGCCGUCGUACCAGUCGCCGUUCCAGCGGAAGGGGAGGAAGUCGUCCUGGACGGCGGCGGCGGGUGGCAUCAUGAGGGCGCUGCUCGGCGUGCUUGGGCUCAGGAAAAGCCACCGCCGGCGUCCCGCUCCCGCCUAG